CUGACUGCUAUCGGAUUGAUACUAAGCCAUGCGAGUCAUUGUAGCAAUACAAGGCAUACGGCUCAGUAACGCGUAGUCAACCUAACCUAUGGACGGGAAUAACCUCGGGAAACUGAGAAUAAUGCCCGAUAGAACAUUAUGCCUGGAAUGGUUUAUGUUCCAAAUGAUUUAUCGCCGUAGGAUGGGACUGCGGCCUAUCAGUUUGUUGGUGAGGUAAUGGCCCACCAAGACUAUUACAGGUACGGGCUCUGAGAGGAGUAGCCCGGAGAUGGGUACUGAGACACGGACCCAGGCCCUAUGGGGCGCAGCAGGCGAGAAAACUUUGCAAUGUGCGAAAGCACGACAAGGUUAAUCCGAGUGGUUUCUGCUAAAGGAACCUUUUGUCAGUCCUAGAAACACUGAUGAAUAAGGGGUGGGCAAGUCUGGUGUCAGCCGCCGCGGUAAAACCAGCACCUCAAGUGGUCAGGAUGAUUAUUGGGCCUAAAGCAUCCGUAGCCGGCUCUGUAAGUUUUCGGUUAAAUCUGUACGCUCAACGUACAGGCUGCCGGGAAUACUGCAGAGCUAGGGAGUGGGAGAGGUAGACGGUACUCGGUAGGAAGGGGUAAAAUCCUUUGAUCUAUUGAUGACCACCUGUGGCGAAGGCGGUCUACCAGAACACGUCCGACGGUGAGGGAUGAAAGCUGGGGGAGCAAACCGGAUUAGAUACCCGGGUAGUCCCAGCUGUAAACUAUGCAAACUCAGUGAUGCAUUGGCUUGUGGCCAAUGCAGUGCUGCAGGGAAGCCGUUAAGUUUGCCGCCUGGGAAGUACGUACGCAAGUAUGAAACUUAAAGGAAUUGGCGGGGGAGCACCACAAGGGGUGAAGCUCGGUC
rnacentral:rRNA from 1 species